CAAGGUCUCCGUUGGUGAACCAGCGGAGGGAUCAUUACUGAGUUACCGCUCUAUAACCCUUUGUGAACAUACCUAACCGUUGCUUCGGCGGGCAGGGGAAGCCUCUCGCGGGCCUCCCCUCCCGGCGCCGGCCCCCACCACGGGGACGGGGCGCCCGCCGGAGGAAACCAAACUCUAUUUACACGACGUCUCUUCUGAGUGGCACAAGCAAAUAAUUAAAACUUUUAACAACGGAUCUCUUGGUUCUGGCAUCGAUGAAGAACGCAGCGAAAUGCGAUAAGUAAUGUGAAUUGCAGAAUUCAGUGAAUCAUCGAAUCUUUGAACGCACAUUGCGCUCGCCAGCAUUCUGGCGAGCAUGCCUGUUCGAGCGUCAUUUCAACCCUCAAGCACCGCUUGGUUUUGGGGCCCCACGGCAGACGUGGGCCCUUAAAGGUAGUGGCGGACCCUCCCGGAGCCUCCUUUGCGUAGUAACUAACGUCUCGCACUGGGAUCCGGAGGGACUCUUGCCGUAAAACCCCCCAAUUUUUUACAGGUGACCUC
rnacentral:rRNA from 1 species